rnacentral:rRNA from 1 species
GACGAACGCUGGCGGCGUGCUUAACACAUGCAAGUCGAACGGUGAACGAGGGGGCUUGCUCUCUCCGGAUCAGCGGCGAACGGGUGAGUAACAAGUGCGCAAUCUGCUCCGAACUCUGGGAUAAGCGCUGGAAACGACGUCUACUACUGGAUACGACGCGGGAGGGCAUCCUCUACGCGUGGAAAGAACUUCGGUUCGGGAUGUGCUCGGGGCCUAUCAGCUCGUUUGGGAGGUAACGGCUCACCACGGCGACGGCUGAUAGCCGGCCUGUGAGGGGGACCAGCCACACUGGUACUGAGGGACGGCCCAGAGGGCUACGGUAGGCAGCAGGGGGAAAUAUUGCACAAUGGUAGCGAGCCUGAUGCAGCGGCGCCGCGGUAGGGAAGACGUCCUGCUGGGUGUAAAACUCAUUUAGCAGGGAAGAAGCGAAAGUGACGGUACCUGCAGAAAAAGCACCGGCUAACUACGUG